AUCUUUCUUUCACAUCCUCAUCUCCUUCAGAAGUCUAUCUUCAAUCUUUAAAAAAAAUUUAGAGAUUUGAAAAAAAAAUCUAGAUCAACCAAGAGAAGGUCUUCACACGAACUAGCAUUCUCGAGAAGACCGAUCAGAUUGAAGUUUCGAGUAGACUUUCCGUAGAGGUCGGAUGUAUGUGCAGCUAUGAGCAAUCAGUGAGGACCCUCUUUACCAUAUCUCUUAGUAGUAGUGAUCAUCGAUGCACACUCAGAUAUUGAGUUUUGAACUCAGAUUAGAAGUAGAUGUGAUCUAUUGCUCACAUGUAUGCAUGCUGAUUUUAUCUUUAGUAUUUUUUAGAUUUUAUAUG
rnacentral:lncRNA from 1 species